rnacentral:rRNA from 1 species
CCUACGGGGGGCAGCAGUGAGGAAUAUUGGUCAAUGGCCGGAAGGCUGAACCAGCCAAGCCGCGUGAAGGACGAAGGUGCCAAGCAUUGUAAACUUCUUUUGUCAAGGGACAAAAUCAGGCACGAGAGCCGGACCGAGGGUACUUGAAGAAAAAGCAUCGGCUAACUCCGUGCCAGCAGCCGCGGUAAUACGGAGGAUGCGAGCGUUAUCCGGAUUUAUUGGGUUUAAAGGGUGCGUAGGCGGAUUGUUAAGUCAGCGGUAAAAGCCCGGGGCUCAACCCCGGCGAGCCGUUGAAACUGGGUGACUUGAGUUGUCGAGAGGUAUGCGGAAUGCGUGGUGUAGCGGUGAAAUGCUUAGAUAUUGCGAAGAACUCCGAUUGCGAAGGCAGCAUACCGGCGGUGAUCUGACGCUGAGGCACGAAAGCGUGGGUAUCGAACAGGAUUAGAUACCCCGGUAGUC